rnacentral:rRNA from 1 species
GCUUGUCUCAAAGAUUAAGCCAUGCAUGUCUAAGUAUAAGCAAACUUGUACUGUGAAACUGCGAAUGGCUCAUUAUAUCAGUUAUAGUCUACUCGAUAGUACCUUACUACUUGGAUAACCGUAGUAAUUCUAGAGCUAAUACAUGCGCAAAUACCCAACUGCUUGUCGGACGGGUAGCAUUUAUUAGAUGGAAACCAAUGCAGGGCAACCUGGAAUAUGGUGAUUCAUAAUAACUCGCGGAUCGGUUUACCGAUGCAUCAUUCAAGUUUCUGCCCUAUCAGCUUUGGAUGGUAGGGUAUUGGCCUACCAUGGCUUUAACGGGUAACGGAGAAUUAGGGUUCGAUUCCGGAGAGGGAGCCUGAGAAAUGGCUACCACAUCCAAGGAAGGCAGCAGG